UAAGCAUAUCAAUAAGCGGAGGAAAAAGAAACCAACAGGGAUUCCCUUAGUAACGGCGAGCGAAAAGGGAUGAGCCCAGCAUGUAAAUCUCCGGUUUCCGGCGAAUUGUAGUCUGGAGUAGCAACUCCUGGUGCCGUGCCGGCCCAAGCAUCUUGGAAUAGAUCGCCUCAGAGGGUGAGAGCCCCGUAGGUCGGUACGAGCUCCUACACGGAGUGCUCACGCAGAGUCGGGUUGUUUGGGAAUGCAGCCCCAAUUGGGUGGUAAACCCCAUCUAAGGCUAAAUACCUGUGGGAGACCGAUAGCAAAAAAGUACCUCGAGGGAACGAUGAAAAGACCGCUGGCAAGCGAGUGAAAGAGUGCAUGAAAUUGUAUAGUGGGAAGGGAUGGCCUGGCGUAUUGCCCGCGGGUAUACACUGCUCUUCGAGCUCUUGAAUACACCGUGGGCUGGCUGGUGCCGACCCUGCGCUUGCAAAUCCCCAAACUAAGGUGUUUGGCUCUUCAAGCGCGGGUGUUGAGGUU
rnacentral:rRNA from 1 species